rnacentral:rRNA from 1 species
AGACUUUGAUUAUGGCUCAGGACGAACGCUGGCGGCGUGCUUAACACAUGCAAGUCGAACGGUCUACCUCGACAGAAACCUUCGGGUUGAAGACGAGAUCUAGAUAGUGGCGGACGGGUGAGUAACACGUGAAUAAUCUGUCCUCAAGUCUGGGAUAACCUGGCGAAAGUCGGGCUAAUCCGAGGUAAGCUGAGAGUGUGGCAUCACACAAUCAGAAAAGGUGGCUUUGCCAUCGUUUGAGGAGGAGUUCGCGGUAGAUUAGCUAGCUGGUGAGGUAAUGGCUCACCAGGGCAACAAUCUAUAGCUGGUCUGAGAGGACGAUCAGUCACACUGGAACUGAGACACGGUCCAGACUCCUACGGGAGGCAGCAGUGGGGAAUCUUCCACAAUGGGGCGAAAGCCUGAUGGAGCAACGCCCGCGUGAGUGAAAGAACGG